AUUAACCGUAUGUACUAGGUUAAGGAUCGAGAUCAGGCAGCCCCUUCUGCCCGUGAAGAAGCUAAGUCUUUACAGCAUAAACUAGAGGAAGCAAUUUCUGAACAAUGGAAUCGCCAGACUAUAAAUACUGAGAUAUGGGACACACGCCAGAUGUUUGAGCAGAAGACAAGCAAACUGAAAACAGCAAUUGAGUCACGGCAAAAGAAGUUAA